rnacentral:rRNA from 1 species
GAAGAUCUAGCGGCGAACGGGUGAGUAACACGUGAGAAACCUGCCCCGAACUCUGGGAUAACACGAGGAAACCCGUGCUAAUACCGGAUAUGAGCCUUGAUCGCAUGAUCGGGGCUGGAAAGUUUUUCGGUUGAAGAUGACUUCGCGGCCUAUCAGCUUGUUGGUGAGGUAAUGGCUCACCAAGGCGACGACGGGUAGCCGGCCUGAGAGGGCGACCGGCCACACUGGGACUGAGACACGGCCCAGACUCC